CUGAUUCAGAUAAAGGUUGAAACAUUUUAUCUUUUGUGAACGAAGGAGCACACUAAAACAUGUCUAUAUACAUCCGAUUCAAAAAAAAAACCCUUAAAACAUCUUAUAUUUGUGAACGAGGGGAGUAGCAGCAAAGAUCACGCCGAGGCAAGAUCAUUUUGGCCUGACCUGACAUUCAAUUCCAUUCGAGGCUACAGAGUACAUUCGUUACUGAUUUUACUCAACUCAUGAGACACUCCACAAAAGCUGAACCCACGUUCGAUGAUGUCAAAUCAACAAAAUUCUGGAGGCACGAGUGGAAUCGAACAUCGUAUGUAGUGAAAUUCAGGUUGUGUCCGUGUUACAAGUUAUUUAGUGUUACUGACCAUAACAGUUUGGUGGUCGCUGUUAAAGUAGGUCAGUUUUAUGGAGACGGUCUGCUGCUAAAAUUGCUCUCCACAGUUUCCAUGCGAGUCGGCGACCCCCAUACACUUAAGUUUGCUGGCAUUUCCACAAAGGUGGAUUUUAUUAGCUUAAAAUGGAGCGUUAAGAGAAUAUAAUCAUAAUGAACACGCACCCCAUCUUUGCAUGGCUAGGAUGAGCAUAACCUCAAGUUUGCUGUUGUAUCUUGGGCAGCGUUGCCUUGAAGAACCUCGGCUCAAGGUUGUUCCCGACAGAUGCCAAGUCAGUACGAUAGGACGAACAAUGGCAAUAUCGGGUUUCAUAGCACAUAGCACAAGAGAACAAUAAGCUCCCGACGUCUCUCAAACCCACCUUUGUCUCGCUUCCUUCUCUACCACUCGCUAUUUGCAUUUUGCAAAACCAUGUGCUCAAUUCCUCUUUCCUGCUCUGCGAAUGAC
rnacentral:lncRNA from 1 species